GCUGAACAAAAAUUUUAUUGUAACAUACGUCAAAUCUGUUUUGAUUGUUUGUAACAUAUGUCAAAUCUUCUUAUAAGUGAGAAAAAUGACUUCAAUAUCGUCUGAAUCAAGCGUAGGAGCAAAAAACCUUGCUCAAAAAUGAAGAAUGGUUUAAUUUGAAAUGUAAUCUGUUGGGGAAAAAAACAGCGUAACUCAACUUUCUAAAUCAAGACUUGACAAUGUAAUUCUGUCGGCUGAUGGGGUUCAUGACCACCGGGGGACCAGCAGUGCGAGGCCAU
rnacentral:misc_RNA from 1 species